UACGUAGGUGGCAAGCGUUGUCCGGAUUUACUGGGUGUAAAGGGCGUGCAGCCGGAGAGACAAGUCAGAUGUGAAAUCCACGGGCUCAACUCGUGAACUGCAUUUGAAACUGUUUCCCUUGAGUGUCGGAGAGGUAAUCGGAAUUCCUUGUGUAGCGGUGAAAUGCGUAGAUAUAAGGAAGAACACCAGUGGCGAAGGCGGAUUACUGGACGAUAACUGACGGUGAGGCGCGAAAGCGCGGGGAGCAAACAGG
rnacentral:rRNA from 1 species